UGGAUGAUGUUGUGGAUGGAGAAUGGGGGGCGUUAGUGAGAGAAACCAAAGUGGGUAGAAAGCUUGUGUGGACAGCAGGUGUAGGAGAUGCAGAGGGAGGGGCAGUGGUGGACCUGUGGGGAACUGAGGAGGGACUCCACCCUGACUGAGAAGUUUGUGCCGUUGUGAAUGAAGAAUGAGCUUGGGUAGUAGCAGUGGUAGUAGAAGGCAUGACUGGUACUGUUUGGGGGGAACUUGCACCCUUCUCUGUGGUACUUGGAGGAAUAGUGCUCAAUGACAUGGAUGAGGAAGGAGACGAUGCUGUGUGCUCACUGGUGGCAGAGCUAAGUAUCUCAGGAGAUGGUGUCACAGAGGAGGUUGAAAACACUGGCAGUGGUGUAACGAACGAAGUCUGAGGAACUGAUGGCAUUGGGGAGGUGGUGGUCUGCACAGAUGCUUCAAAGGGAGUACCUGUGGUACCUGUUGUACUGGAGACAGCAAUAGUGAGUGAAGGGUGUGUGAUGUGUGGAGUCUGAGGACUGCUAGUUGUGCCCAAAGAAGGAAACACCACUGGAGUACCAGUUUCACCAAUGGUGGACUUGGUUGUGAUGGUUGUAGGCCCUGCUGUGGAUUGAUGGGCAGUCAUGGAGGAAGGCUGUGAAAGGUGAGAAGUAGAGGUUCUCUCUGUGGAGAAAGAGCUUUGAGCUUGAGUUGUGGCAGUGGUUGAGUGAGAGACAGGUGUGGAUGUAUUUGGAGGCCUUGUUUCUUCUAUUGUGGUUUGUAGAAUGGUGCUCACUGGCCUAGACAUGGAAACUGAGGAGACUGUGUGUGGGCUAGGUGAGGUGAUGUGUGUCUCAGCAGUUGGUGACACAGAGGAAGUUGAAAAUGAUGUCAGUGAUGUGACUAAAGAGGUCUGAGGAGCUGAUGGUGUUGGGAAGGUGGUGGUGGUCUGCUCAGAUGUUCUGAAGUAGGGAGCAGUGCUGUGUGUGGUGCUGGAGAAAGCCACUGUGGGUGGAGAGUGUGUGGUGUGUGGAGUUUGGGCACUGCUGGGUGUGUUUGAGGUGGUGUGGACCACUGAGGUACCAGUUACACCCAUGGUGGGCAUAAGUGAGGUGGUAGUAGCUAGAAUUGAUGUUGAUUGAGUGGGUGUCAGGGAGGAAGAUUCUGAGAGAUGUGGCAUAGAGGUCCUGCCUGUGGAGAAUGAGGUUUUGGGUUGUGUGGUAGCACUGGUUAUAUAAAUGACAGGUAUUGAUGUGUGAGGUGGCUUUGUGGCUUCCAGGGUGGUUGGAAGGACAGUCCUCAAUGGCAUGGAGGUAGAGGCCAUUGAUACUGAGUGU